UAGGGAAUCUUCCGCAAUGGGCGAAAGCCUGACGGAGCAACGCCGCGUGAGUGAUGAAGGUCUUCGGAUCGUAAAACUCUGUUAUUAGGGAAGAACAAAUGUGUAAGUAACUAUGCACGUCUUGACGGUACCUAAUCAGAAAGCCACGGCUAACUACGUGCCAGCAGCCGCGGUAAUACGUAGGUGGCAAGCGUUAUCCGGAAUUAUUGGGCGUAAAGCGCGCGUAGGCUGUUUUUUAAGUCUGAUGUGAAAGCCCACGGCUCAACCGUGGAGGGUCAUUGGAAACUGGAAAACUUGAGUGCAGAAGAGGAAAGUGGAAUGCCAUGUGUAGCGGUGAAAUGCGCAGAGAUAUGGAGGAACACCAGUGGCGAAGGCGACUUUCUGGUCUGUAACUGACGCUGAUGUGCGAAAGCGUGGGGAUCAAACAGG
rnacentral:rRNA from 1 species